rfam:Oryza rufipogon genomic scaffold, chr03
UUUAAGUACAACCAUAAGUUUACGCGUUCAACUUUAAUUAUUCGUCUUAUUUGAAUUUUUUUAUAAUUAGUAUUUUCAUUAUUAUGAGAUGAUAAAAUAUAAAUAGUGUUUUAUACGUAACCUAUAUUUUAUUUUUUUAAAAAAUAUUUUAAAUAAAACGGACGGUUAAAAUUGUGCAUGGAAAAUCAUAUCUGCACUUUAG